CCUACGGGUGGCAGCAGUGAGGAAUAUUGGUCAAUGGACGAGAGUCUGAACCAGCCAAGUAGCGUGAAGGAUGACUGCCCUAUGGGUUGUAAACUUCUUUUAUAAAGGAAUAAAACGAGGCACGUGUGCCUUUUUGCAUGUACUUUAUGAAUAAGGAUCGGCUAACUCCGUGCCAGCAGCCGCGGUAAUACGGAGGAUCCGAGCGUUAUCCGGAUUUAUUGGGUUUAAAGGGUGCGUAGAUGGGUUGUUAAGUCAGUUGUGAAAGUUUGCGGCUCAACCGUAAAAUUGCAGUUGAUACUGGCAGUCGUGAGUACAGUUGAGGUAAGCGGAAUGCGUGGUGUAGCGGUGAAAUGCUUAGAUAUCACGAAGAACCCCGAUUGCGAAGGCAGCUUGCUAAACUGUGACUGACAUUGAUGCUCGAAAGUGUGGGUAUCAAACAGGAUUAGAUACCCCAGUAGUC
rnacentral:rRNA from 1 species